CUUGGUCAUUUAGAGGAAGUAACGGUCGUAACAAGGUUUCCGUAGGUGAACCUGCGGAAGGAUCAUUACAAAUCUGGUUGUGCGUGUGUGUGUGUGUGUGUGCUUCACUGCGCGCAGACACACAACAUAACAUGACAUAAGCACAAGGCCUCACGGCCUUGAUGUUCACGCUUGUAUGUUUGACAGAGAUAUAUUGUGCCUAAAAAAGGCAACUUUUAACAAUGGAUCUCUUGGCUCUUGCAACGAUGAAGAACGCAGUAAAGUGCGAUAUGUAGUGCGAUUUGCAUGAAUCUGUUAGUCAUCUAAUCUUUGAACGCAACUUGCGCCUCUCUGAGGCAUGUCUGUUUGAGUGCCGCAUACCCCUAUGCAGCAAUGCGUAUUGACAGCUGUCCCUGGACUCUGUCUAAACGUAGCCAGUAGUCGUGGUUGCGUCCAGCCCGAGUGCUAAGCAUUCCUGGCCUGGCCGCAGCUGCGACCAGCGUGUGCUAUCUUAUACUUUGGCCUCAAAUCAGGCAGGACUACCCGCUGAACUUAAGCAUAUCAAUAAGCGGAGGA
rnacentral:rRNA from 1 species